GCCCAUCAAGAUACUUUGUGCCAAUAUAAUGUUAAUUGUUAGGAAGUGAACCAUCAAUGAGCCCAACAUUUGUUUUUGCUGCUGUUCAGAUACCAUGUUGCGCAUAACCGUUUCGAGCCUGCAAUCAACAUUGCCAUCACCGUUGGCUUGGCUUAUGGUUCAACGGCGAAAGCCACCCUGAUUAUCACCGCUAGAUCAUAUGAUGAGAUAGCAGUGAAAGCUGUUUUCACUGCUAGUUCAAUUGGCGACUAUUCCUUACUGGAGCUAGUGUUGAAAUAGUUUCGCCACCAGUUUUGUAACAAAUGGUGGUCACAAGCUAAGGUUCCGGCAAUGACCAUCUAAUAGUAGUGUCUCUCAGUUCUAGCAUGAAGGUGGACAAGGGGCACAUGCCUGUCGCUGUUGAGGACAUGCCACAGAUGAGGCCAGGACACGACCAUCUUAUAAUAGUGUCUCUCAGUUCUAACAUCAAGGUGGACAAGGUGCACAUGCCCAUUGUUGUUGAGGAUGUGGCGCAGAGGAGGCCAGGACACGUGUGUCGGUCGCCUGUGGAGGCCAGCAUGGAGGAGAGAGCUAUGGCAGCGCUAGGACGUCAUUCAGUCUUUGGCAACGUUGUGCCUCAUGCCCCCUCCAAGGGACAGUAGCACCUUAGCAAGUGCAAACAAGGGCAGGGAACUUGAAAGGGUUUGAAAGUUUAGGGGU
rnacentral:lncRNA from 1 species